rnacentral:lncRNA from 10 species
CACUUAUCUCUUUGUAAGAUUAUGAUUAUGGAGACGCCACUAUUUGCUGGAUAUUCUGGAAGGUUCUGAGGAUCAAAGAUAAAGAUGCUUUUCCUCAUGCAUUCAGCGUCUUUCUCUUCUUUUCUCUAAAUAUUUAGUCUUUGGUUCUCUCUCUCUUUCUCUGUCUCUUUCUGCUUUACAAACCUCUCCCUUGAAGAAGAGUAAUUUUUAUAAUAUUGUCUCUUAGAUCUAUGCAAAUGUCUCUCAUAUUUGGAAUUGAGCUUCUACGAAGGCCAGUGCCAUUUUUCUCCUGCUGUUUACUGCCCAUCUCCAUGGAAAACAAGACACAUUCCCAGAAGUGAAAGUGCAGAUUCAAAGAACCUGUAUUCUACACAGGGAAGAGAAUGAACUUUGUGCUGACAUCAUCUGCCAGCUUCCCAGAAGCCCUCCCUAAAUGUCUAUCUGUCUCACCAAAUUUUUACCCCACAGCAGACAAAGUAAUUCAUGACCCAGCCCAACAUUAAUGGGAUGGAGACAUAUACUUUGGCCGCAGUAAGAGAAGAAAGAAGAUAAAUAUUUUCUUAACAAAGUCCACACUCUCAUAAUGAUAUGGACUCCAGGCUCCAGAAGGAGAUGAGAAGAUGAACAGAAGAGCAGAAGAAUGGCAGAAUGGCAUGGCAGAGAGAAGAAAAGGAGCAUCUGAAUGCCAAGAGGAGUUUGACUGGGUGUGGCCAGAGAGGAGUUCAGCUGCUGGAUGAUCAAACUCCAGGGGAAGAUCAUCUUCCCACUUCCUCCCUGUGCUAGUCCCCCAUCGAUCCCACUGAGAGCCACCUCUUCCACCCAAGAAAACCCCCACAUUUACCACCCUUAAGUCUGUGUGUGAGUUGAUUCUUCUGGGUUGCUGGAUAAGAGCUCCACAUACAGAAAGCUGUCACACUGGCCUUCUGCCAUUGUGAAAAGGCAGAGGGUUCACUGAGCUGGUUAACACGUAAGCCGUCUGCAGAUGGCAAAGCUAAAAGAGCGCACUGUAACACAUGUCACACCCACUUAGGCUUUGGGAGUUGCAGGCACACACCUCUAGUUGCUACCAUGGGGCCAGAGCCCCAGAGCACUCACCCUGGCUCCUGUGCCUGCCUGUCUGCGUGCUCCCCCAACUCUAAAAUGUUUGAGUGUACGGCAGCCGAAUGCAUAGGCCCCCACCCCUGUCGCAUGUUCUGCAAGUGGUUCAGGGAACUCUCCCGUUACGAUAAGGAGAAAUACAAACUUGUUGACAAUCUUAGAACAUAAUUGACUAAAGAAUGACUGAAUUUUCAACUAUUCUGUAAAUCUAAAAUUAUUCCAAAAUCAAGUUUAUUAAAAAAGAAACAAAAAGUAAGCUACCAUGUGAUGAGGGAGACAGCUCUAGUCACUGGAAAUGUUGAAACAGAGUAUAGAAAAUCUCUUGGUGGGAAGUAUGUACAAUGGACUGAAGCAUGAGUCAAUUAUCCAGUGUAUUUACUACAUUUAUAUUGACAUGUCACAGAGAGGAGGGGACAGAAAGUAUUGUGUAUGACAGAUUCAAUAUUAAAAAUUGUCAUGAUAGGUUGCAACCAACCAGGUAAAAUAUCAAAAGGAUAAACAUAAUGCCACACAUUUGGGUUUACAAUCUCAAUUGCUUUAUAUAUAUUAAAUAAAAAUGUAUAGUACAUAAUUAAU